rnacentral:rRNA from 1 species
AUUGAACGCUGGCGGCAGGCUUAACACAUGCAAGUCGAGCGGGGGAAGGUAGCUUGCUACCGGACCUAGCGGCGGACGGGUGAGUAAUGCUUAGGAAUCUGCCUAUUAGUGGGGGACAACAUCUCGAAAGGGAUGCUAAUACCGCAUACGUCCUACGGGAGAAAGCAGGGGAUCUUCGGACCUUGCGCUAAUAGAUGAGCCUAAGUCGGAUUAGCUAGUUGGUGGGGUAAAGGCCUACCAAGGCGACGAUCUGUAGCGGGUCUGAGAGGAUGAUCCGCCACACUGGGACUGAGACACGGCCCAGACUCCUACGGGAGGCAGCAGUGGGGAAUAUUGGACAGUGGGCGCAAGCCUGAUCCAGCCAUGCCGCGUGUGUGAAGAAGGCCUUAUGGUUGUAAAGCACUUUAAGCGAGGAGGAGGCUACUUUAGAUAAUACCUAGAGAUAGUGGACGUUACUCGCAGAAUAAGCACCGGCUAACUCUGUGCCAGCAGCCGCCGUAACAC